GUGGGGAAUUUUGGACAAUGGGCGCAAGCCUGAUCCAGCAAUGCCGCGUGCAGGAAGAAGGCCUUCGGGUUGUAAACUGCUUUUGUACGGAACGAAACGGUCCUGGUUAAUACCCGGGGCUAAUGACGGUACCGUAAGAAUAAGCACCGGCUAACUACGUGCCAGCAGCCGCGGUAAUACGUAGGGUGCAAGCGUUAAUCGGAAUUACUGGUCGUAAAGCGUGCGCAGGCGGUGCUGUAAGACAGGCGUGAAAUCCCCGGGCUUAACCUGGGAAUUGCGCUUGUGACUGCAGUGCUGGAGUGCGGCAGAGGGGGAUGGAAUUCCGCGUGUAGCAGUGAAAUGCGUAGAUAUGCGGAGGAACACCGAUGGCGAAGGCAAUCCCCUGGGCCUGCACUGACGCUCAUGCACGAAAGCGUGGGGAGCAAACAGGAUUAGAUACCCGUGUAGUCC
rnacentral:rRNA from 1 species